UGCACAUCAGGUUGUAAAUCUCAAUUGGAUUAAUGGAUCACAACCACAACUAUAGACACAUAAGAACAGGACAGUGCUAAGAUGCCCAUUCUGAAACCGCCAGCGAGUGUAAUUCACUCACCGCAUAACAACGGUAAAGGGCCUCUAGAAACAUCCAGACCAUUGUGAGCAAAUCCCUCGCAACAACUGAACCGACAAGCAAUUGUCGACAUGGAUCAGUUUAUCAUGUUCUCAGUUGCUCUUGGUUGGCCAGAUGCCCUUGGAUCCCUCAACGAAGCCAAACCCCCUACCCUAACCAGGACCGUUUUCUGUGCCAUACAGUGCUGUCAGAUGGGUCUGCACCAACUCAACUACACACUCUCUCCCUCUUCAAACCUGCCAGUAGUUUGGAGUCGGUGAGGUUUCUUCACCGCUUGUUGUCACAUAUGGUGUGAUUCUGGUGUCUGAGAACAAACAUCUUUCAUUGGAUACAGGGUCAUUGAGCGCCGUUCCCACAUACGCUGUGUUCCUGUUUGACAUUCCAGUCUAAGACAGGAGAUGGACAAACAAACAUGGCCAGUCAGCACCCGGAAUGUUCUGUGUCCGAAGAAGGUUAUGUAACACUGUUUCCUGGUUGCCCUGGAGACGGAGGCUGCCCCUCUCUUCACCUCCCUGCCAGCCGUCUCCUGUCUAAAUCCUUCCGAGUAAAUGGCAGAGGAGACAGUGGGAAUUCAUAAACAGAUUGAUAGUCUGUUUUGUUUAUGUGCGUGUUUGUAUGUAUACAGAUAAGCAGUGUUACGCAUUGCAAUUUUUAUACAGAGAAAGAAAGAUAGGGGUUUGGACAUAAGAUAAAAACAGCAACUGGUUAAGGAUGUCAUUACCUUGCUAGAUAGAGUUUGUGAAAUUUGUUGUUGUUUAUAAAGCCCCACCCCAUCUGCCAAUGUAACCACCAAUGGUUCAGUGUUGACAUUUAUAGUUUAAUGAAAAACAAUGUUUAUUUUUGGUUUCACUUUAAUAAUUCAUUUUUUAACAUAAAUGCAAAUACAAUGCCUUUACAUUUAUUCAUUUGGCAGACGCUUUUAUCCAAAUAGACUUACAUUGCAUUAUCCUAUACAUUUUGUUUCUAAGUAUGUGCAAUCCCCUGGGAUCGAACCCACAAACUUGCCGUUGUUAGUGCCAUGCUAUUACCACUGAGCAACAGGAAAGCUAAAAACAAUAAACAAAACCCCCAAAAUAAAUCUGUUGCUCUUUGCUUAAUUCACUUUAAUAAGUCAUUUUCAUUACAGACUUCAAUGAGUACCUUUUAGGUAUAAUUGACUAACCAUAAUGUUUUAUUCAUAAGUAACUAUUCAUUACGGUUUAUAACCAUAGCACUGGCUGACACUGGCUAUUAAA